AAAAGCACUGGGAUUUAAGAAGGAAAGGAAUCAAGCCAAGCCCUUCGUUGAAGGAUUUUGGGGAAGAUUUCUAUCAAUUGAUCUAUUUUGCUGCGUUGUUUGGAGAAAAUGGUGCUCAGGUCGGUUUGCGCAUCCCUCCAAGGUAGGAUCUGAUUAAAACGGAUCAACAAGGGAUCUUUGGUGAUGGACAAGGGAUUUUUUGGGUGAUUUUCCAACAAAGGAUCUCUGGAUUUUGCAAAACAAUUGCAUAAUAAUCCAUUUGGAUCCACCUUUCACCAAUUUCUUGCCCCAACAAGGCAUCUUGGGUAACUUUUCAAUAUAUAUUGGGGAGUGGAAACAUAAUAUAUACCUUUCUUAUAUAUAUGAAAUAUUUGGAAAAAUAAUAGCUAUUUAUUUUCUUACCACUUUUUAUUGAAUCCAUUCGCAUCCACCCUCCUCAUUUCCUGCCCCAAAAAGGAAUCUAUUGUGAUUUUUCAAGCAAACAGAAAAAUCCAUUUUUAUUUGACAACCAAUACGGAUCAAGCAAUUUCAGCAUCUUUUUUAAAAAAUAUUCUAUAGUUGUUUACAUUCUUAUGUCCUUGAUGUAAUUGGUUUGCAAAUAAACCAAUUUACAAUUCUGCACAUAGUUACCAGGUUUCACAUGAUGGUAAGCCAGGCAGUGAUACAUGAAAUUAGGGCCUCUUUUUUCUGAACCCACCCCAGCAAAUAAAGCACAGCUUCUUAGUCAAAAGCAUGGGAUGUUGCUUGUUUAUAAUUGCUUAGGUCAAACUUGACCUAUAAUUUGUGCCUCAUUGUUUCACCAGCCUGUCCCCUAAUAUAUAGGAACUGAUAAAAGUAAUGGAAGAGAAAUAAACCAAAAAUUGAGAAAAUCAAUUAUGUCCCACUUUCUUGGGUUCUGUAGUACCAGUUAUAUAAAUAUGCAAACACAAUCAUAGUGACUUAAGAAAUUUACAGACUGGAUCAUUUUAAAAACAACAAUAUUAUAUAGUAUUAUAUAUUAAAUUCAAAAACUAUCUUGAAUAAAUAAAGUUGUUGUUAUCAUCAUGAUGCUAAAGUACCAAGCAUCAAAUGAAAUGCCAGUGUAGGACUUGCUUGUAAAAGCUUUCUAGAUAUGCUGCACAACCAUUAUGGGAUGUAACCUUUCAGCCCUGAUUCAAGGUGACAAGAGCUUGAUUGCUAUCCAUCACUAGUAUAUUUGUUGUCAAAUAUAAAUAUAAAAAUUCUGCAAACAGAAAAAUCCAUUUAUAUUUGAGCAAGAAAAUCCUUAAAAGAGGAGUGUGGUAUGCCUUAUAUUUUCCUUGUUGUAUUUUUAUUUAAUCUGUUUGGAUCCACCUUUCUCUAAUUCCCUGCCCACAACAAGGCAUCUUUAGUGACUUUUCAGGCAGUGAAGGGAACGUCCUUUGACUUUGCAAACAGAAAAAGACAUUUAUAUCUCAACAAAGAGAUUAUUGACUAUUUGGAAAUACUUUUCCCCAGUUUCCUCCCUUCCUUACACAAUACAAAGUGGGGGAAAUGGCUCUGCAGUACGUCAAGAACCAGAAAGGCCGAGACCAGCUCCUCUACAAGGGAUACCUGCAUAAGAAACAGCGCGCGAGUGCUGGCAAAAUUUUAUGGAAAUGUGCCGACUAUGCAAAGUAUCAAUGCAAGGGCAGAGUCUAUACAUGCGAUGGGCAAGUGAUCAAGUAUUUUCGGCAUCGGCAUCCUCCCGAUGUGACCGCUGGGAAAACGAAACAAAAGGCUCGUGGCCCCAAAGAAAUGAUCCCUCGUGAGUCUGUGGGGAAAAUUAAACAAAAAGUCAGUGGUUCCAAAGAAAUUACCUCAAAUGAGACCACAAAGAAAACAAAACGAAAGGUCAGUGGUCCAAAAGAAAUGAAACCCAGUGAGACCAUGGGGAAAACCAAACGAAGGAUUAUUGACCCCAAAGAAAAGAUCCCCAGCCAAGAAUCGACACACAAAGUAGCAGUGAUGCCAACCGAUGCAGCAUCACCAGGAGUUGUGACUAACAAGAAACCGUGCAUCCAAAAUAAUCCAAAACAGACAAUCCAGCGCUUGAGAGCAUGUCUGAAUGCGCUCCGGCAAAGCACAUCAGAUUUACGGACUCCUACCUCUGCUAAAAGAGCUAACGAAGACCUAGUGGCAGCUCUUCCUCAAGCAUCUCCAGGUUGGCCAGAGAAUUCAACAGAAGGAGUCACCAAGGAGAGUUUCAAGGCCACCCCCAGUCCCCAUGAAGAGAUUUCUGAGGCCGCCCCUAUUCCCACCAGAGAGUGCCAUUCAACCCUGACUUGGACCCAUCAAGAAGCCAACCGGCUGAAGUUCCGCACAAAUGCCUUCCGGCCUGGACAAGCACCUGAGGAGAUCCUGUUGCAUUUGACUGACGCGGCUCAGCAAUGGCUGUGUCCGCAAGAGCACAGCAAGGAGUGGAUUGUGGACAUGGUUGUCCUGGAAGAGUUCCUGGAUGUGCUCCCAGUGGACAUGCGGAUGUGGGUGAGAGCCAGGGAGCCGAGCAGCAGCAAGGAAGCAGCUCAGCUGGCAGAGGCCUAUUUCAGGGAGUGCCAGCCAGACCAUGCUAUUCAGGACCAAAUAACCUUUGGAGAUGUAUCUGUGAGUUUCACUACAGAGGAAUGGGCUUUACUGAACCAUGGAGAAAAAUCCCUUUACUGGAAUGUCAUGCAUCAGAAUUAUGACAAUGUGACUGGCCUUGGUAGUGGAUCAGAUGACCAAAAUGAAGGGGUGGACUUUGGGCUGGCUAUGUCUGAACCCCUGCUGGGAUUAUCAGCAAAACAUGGAGUAUCUUCACCAAGUCCUGAACAGGAUUUAAUCAGGGAGAACUGUCUUGAAAGGCAACUGAAGCACAGCACAGGAAAAGAGAGAUGUUUUGUUUAUUUCAGAGAAGGUUUGAAGAAACUUGUCAGAGGCAGAGUUCAUCCAAAUACUAAACUGCGCCCAAAGCCACAGUGUGUCUAUACAGACUGUGAGAAACAGGGUGAAUCCACAACAGUUCUUGAAAGUCAGAAACAUCUCGGUGAGAAAGACCCUCAAGUCAUGAUAGUAUCUGGAGAGUUACAUGAAACAUCGGAACAGAGACAUUUCCAGAACUUCCAAAACUCAGUUAAUGAGGUCCAAAAGAGUAUAGAGGGGUGGCACUCAAAUUGCUUGGAAACGGAAGAAGAGGAGCCUAUUGUUUUAAAAAAAUGGUUAUGGGACCCAGUUCUUCAAGAUGUGAGACCAGGUGAGGAGACACUUUCCAUAGAAAUCGAUGGUGUAGAACAAGAAGAAUCAUUAACUCUUGUCAAUGAUAAGAAGAUCCUAGAUGGGGAGCAUGCUGAAUGCAUUGUUCUACUCAAGGAAUCAUUGGAAAUGUCAAGGGAGGAGAGUUCCCACAGUCCAGAGCAAGACCUGCAGACUGAUGCUGCCCACAUUAACUCAAAGCCAGGCAAUGCUGGGUUGACUACCAAAGUGGGUUUGACAAGUGAGCACCAGAGGGAAAAUGGUGCCAGGAGUGAAGAACAUACAGAGAAGCCUGUUCCUUCUGGAAAUACGAUGGGGGAGUCAAUUGCUGAACCAGGUCCAGAGAUGCAGUGUAUGGGUAUCAAUGGUGGAAAUCAAGAUGAAAACUCAACAUAUGUUGAUAGUCUGAAAAAUAGCUGUUCAGAAGACCUGAACACAUGUCUGAAGUGUGAAAAACAAUCCCCGCACAAUUUAGAAGAGCUUAGCAGCUCCAAGUCUGGGGAAAUCUUCAAUGGCUUCUCUGCUUCUACAAAGCACAAAAAGAACGAGGAAAAAGGAAGAUCUUUUAACGAGGAAAAAGAAAGAUCUUUUAAUUGUAGAGGCACAUAUGUUCUUGGAGCACAUGCAAGAAUUUGUCCAAGACAGAAACAUAAACAUAUCAGUGGGGAAAACCAGAACUGCUACAGACUAUGUAAUUGCAGACUUCUUGAACAAGUAAAUGGAAUAACAGAAACCUCACGGUAUUACCCCUUAAAACAACAUAUCCAAACUUGCGAUGCAUUGCAUCAGCCAAUGGAGGAAGUCAGGAUAUCCUCAGAUGUGGAAUCUUCCUUGUCUGACUCCAAAGGACUUGAAGCUCACCAUCAAUCUUCAUUUCUAACCAAAAUGGUAGCUGAACCCUCUCUGGCCCAGCUGAUCGGUAUAUUGCAGCAAGUGGCUGCAGAUACUGCCGAAAUUAAGUCUUCUGUAUCCAGCCUGCAGAGCACAAUAACUGGCAUCCAGAGUGCCCUAGGGAGCCUUUCCGGAUGCACCGACGAAACUGAACACAGGAUUUCCCAGUUAGAGGACUCCUCUCGAAACACCAAGUCUCAGCUUUUGCAGCAUUGUAAUGAUAUUAAGACGAUUGAGGCCAAAUUAGGUGGGAAAGCUGUUCAGACCAAUGUCAUAGCAGGGCUGUGGUCCUCCCUGAAGAUCAGUAGAGGGGCAAGUCCCCUGAAUCUGUCCCCAAACACCUGAGAAGGAAGCAUCCCAACUGGUUCAGAAAGAGGUCAUCUGCUCCUUUCAGUGGUCUAAACCAGUACUGCUCAAACCCGGCCCUGCAACAAUCUGAGGGACUGUGAAUCGGCCCUCCACUUGAAAAGUUUGAGGACCCCUGCCAUAGACCAUGGUAUCUGUCCUGUUUUGUCUUUCAAGAACAGCCUUAAGACACUGUGAUUUUAAGGAAAGAUAUUUUGGGGAAGAUGAGGAGGGCUCAGUACAUCAUUUGGACCAACAAGAUUCUCCUCCAAGAUCUUCCAUCAUCUAAAAAGACGUCUCAGCAGUGUCUCCUCUCCAGGGAAGAUGCUAUAGAAUAUCCUGAAUUGAGUUGCCAUUUGAGCCCCAUUCCAGCUGGAGAAACCCCCCAAGAGACCCUCUCUCGCGUCAGCGACAUGGUCCAUGGUUGGCUGAUCCCCGAAAGGAGAACCAAGGAGCAAAUAGUUGACGCCGUUAUCCUGGAAAAGUUCUUGGCUCUUCUUCCAGAGGACCUGCAGGAAUGGCUGAGAUUUAGGAGGCCAAAAAACAGCAAAGAGGCAGCUGAGUUUGUGGACAUUUCCCUGCAGAAUCAAAGACCACCUCACGUCGUCAGAAAUGUGAUGAAAACUGAUAGCCCGUGUAGAAAUGCUCCCAAACGCAAGAGUGUUUUGAUGGCCCCCAAACAAAAUAUUACUUAUUGGGAAGUUUUGGAGGAAAAGAAUGGGACAUUCAAUUACACAAAGGAUGGAGAAGACAUUUGGAAAGAAGUUAUUAUAAAAGAAGAGAACAUUAAGGAAGAGGAAAAUUACAAUUGGCCCUAUUGGCCACAGGAACAAAGACUGAAGGAAAAACAACCAUGGAUAAACGAAGAAACAUCCAGAAGUAGUUUAGAGAAAGAGCACCAUCCCCAAAUCUGCCCCAAAAUGGAACAAGAGGAUUAUCCCACUAAUGCAUUCCCUGCGGAAACAAGUGGGCAGUGGCAUGAAGAAUACCUGAGUCCCAACUGCAGUGUUAUGGACCAGCCAAUGGUCUUUACUGAAUUGAAUACAAAUCACUCUGGCUCUCUUAGGCGUGGUCGCCCUACCAAAAGAGAGAAAAGCCAUCCGUGUAAGGACUGCGGCAAAAUCUUUCCUUACAAAUCUGUCCUCAGGAAUCACCAGAUGAUUCACACCGGCGACAAGCCCCACGGCUGCCCUGAGUGCGGCAAACACUUCCGAACUCGGUCAAAUCUUAUGGCUCACUGGAAAAUCCACACGGGAGAGAAACCCCACCAGUGUCAUGAAUGCGGCAAGAGCUUCAGGAUCAAAUCAAGCCUUGCCCUUCACCAGAGGAACCACACCGGAGAGACCCCUCCAGUCUGCUGGAGGAGAUUUAGUCAGCAGGGAAAACAAAUUUAUAAUUCCCAAACCCACACGAAUGAGCAGCUCUAUCCAUGCUCCACUUGUGGCAAAAGCUUCAGAGCAUAUUCAAGUCUUAUAAGACAUGGGAGAGUCCACUCCAGAGAUUAAUGAAAUGUACCGUUCCUGUGGAACAGCCUUCAAUGUAGCAUCAAUUUGAAAAAAAAUGUGUCUGUUUUGUAAAGUGAUUUGAAAACGUUUCCUCGGAACUAAGAAAGUUGCUGUAUUUACAUGUUCUUCCUGCACUUUUUUGUUUCUAUACUGAGACGGACCUCUUUGAAAGUAAAUAAAUACAAAAGGUUAUUUUUCUACAUUUUUAAUGAAUAUAUGUAGGUAUUAUACCUAUUAAACUGGUGGCCUUCUCUUUCUUCCCCAAUCCUGAGAUUUGUAUUUUUUUAAAAUAUCUUAUUGUAAUUUACUAGCUUCUGGUCAUGAAACAAUAGUUCUUAGGGAUCCUGAAAAAGAUAAAUAACUAAUGUCAUGAAGUUCUAAUCAAAAUAUCUGCUGAUUGGACAGUUUUCUGGCUUUAGGAGUAUUUUUGGUCAGUGUUUUAUUCUACAUUGUUUUCAAAUACACUCAGACUACUUCUUUAUACAAUGACACAAAGGUUUUGUAUUAUUAAUUGACAAUCACACAUGCUGUUAGUGUGUAAAUGGUUUUCUUGGUCAUAAUUCAGCUGGUCUUCAGUUACUCAGCAAAUAAAGAAUAAUCAAUACA